rnacentral:rRNA from 1 species
AGAUUUUAGGUUUCGUAGGUGACCUGCGGAAGGAUCAUUACCGAGUGAGGGCCCUCUGGGUCCAACCUCCCACCCGUGUUUAUUUUACCUUGUUGCUUCGGCGGGCCCGCCUUAACUGGCCGCCGGGGGGCUUACGCCCCCGGGCCCGCGCCCGCCGAAGACACCCUCGAACUCUGUCUGAAGAUUGUAGUCUGAGUGAAAAUAUAAAUUAUUUAAAACUUUCAACAACGGAUCUCUUGGUUCCGGCAUCGAUGAAGAACGCAGCGAAAUGCGAUACGUAAUGUGAAUUGCAAAUUCAGUGAAUCAUCGAGUCUUUGAACGCACAUUGCGCCCCCUGGUAUUCCGGGGGGCAUGCCUGUCCGAGCGUCAUUUCUGCCCUCAAGCACGGCUUGUGUGUUGGGCCCCGUCCUCCGAUCCCGGGGGACGGGCCCGAAAGGCAGCGGCGGCACCGCGUCCGGUCCUCGAGCGUAUGGGGCUUUGUCACCCGCUCUGUAGGCCCGGCCGGCGCUUGCCGAUCAACCCAAAUUUUUAUCCAGGUUGACCUCGGAUCAGGUAGGGAUACCCGCUGAACUUAAGCAUAUCAAUAAGUCGGAGGAA